UUCAAGAGUAGAUUACAUUCUUAUUACAAGUGCGUGUGCACAUGACCAUUUGUGCGAGUGACCGGCGACUUUUAGAUAGACUCACCGUCCCACUUCAGGUAGUACCCAGAGCCUGGCAGGCCAUGUGGGGAUGCGCGGAGGGGUGGAGUGGACAGGGCGCAUGCGGAGGUAUGCGUGCUUCGUGCACUCUGGGAACCAGCCUGCUUCAGGCUUGCUUCAGGCUUGCUUCAGGAAAAAGUCACAAGUUAAGGCUUCAGGAUGUUUGCUUCAGGAAACGACUAUAUCAGG
rnacentral:lncRNA from 1 species